AUACGGAGGAUCCGAGCGUUAUCCGGAUUUAUUGGGUUUAAAGGGUGCGCAGGCGGCCAUUUAAGUCAGUGGUUAAAUCGUGGGGCUCAACCCCAUUCUGCCGUUGAUACUGGGUGGCUUGAUUGCGGUCGAGGUUGGCGGAAUUCGUUGUGUAGCGGUGAAAUGCUUAGAUAUCACGCAGAACCCCGAUUGCGAAGGCAGCCUGCCAAGCCAUGACUGACGCUGAUGCACGAAAGCGUGGGGAUCAAACAGGAUUAGAUACCCUGGUAGUCCACGCAGUAAACGAUGAUCACUAGCUGUUUGCGAUACACUGUAAGCGGCACAGCGAAAGCGUUAAGUGAUCCACCUGGGGAGUACGCCGGCAACGGUGAAACUCAAAUGAAUUGGCGGGG
rnacentral:rRNA from 1 species